rnacentral:rRNA from 1 species
AUUGAACGCUGGCGGCAGGCCUAACACAUGCAAGUCGAACGGCAGCACAGAAGAGCUUGCUCUUUGGGUGGCGAGUGGCGGACGGGUGAGUAAUGUCUGGGAAACUGCCCGAUGGAGGGGGAUAACUACUGGAAACGGUAGCUAAUACCGCAUAACGUCGCAAGACCAAAGUGGGGGACCUUCGGGCCUCACACCAUCGGAUGUGCCCAGAUGGGAUUAGCUAGUAGGUGGGGUAAUGGCUCACCUAGGCGACGAUCCCUAGCUGGUCUGAGAGGAUGGCCAGCAACCCUGGAACUGAGACACGGUCCAGACUCCGACGGGAGGCAGCAGUGGGGAAUAUUGCACAAGGGGCGCGAGCCUGAUGCAGCCAUGCCGCGUGUAUGAAGAAGGCCUUCGGGUUGUAAAGUACUUUCAGCGGGGAGGAAGGCGAUGUGGUUAAUAACCGCGUCGAUUGACGUUACCCGCAGAAGAAGCACCGGCUAACUCCGUGCCAGCCGCCGCCGUAA